UACAGAGGGCCCAAGCGUUGUUCGGAUUCACUGGGCGGAAAGGGUGCGUAGGUGGCUUGGUAAGUUUGAUGUGAAAUCUCCGGGCUUAACCCGGAAAUGGCAUUGAAUACUAUUGAGCUGGAGGUUUGGAGGGGGGACUGGAAUUCUCGGUGUAGCAGUGAAAUGCGUAGAUAUCGAGAGGAACACCAGUGGCGAAGGCGGCUCGCUGGGCCAUACCUGACGCUGAGACGCGAAAGCGUGGGGAGCAAACAGG
rnacentral:rRNA from 1 species